AGUGAACGCUGGCGGUAGGCCUAACACAUGCAAGUCGAACGGCAGCACAGUAAGAGCUUGCUCUUACGGGUGGCGAGUGGCGGACGGGUGAGGAAUACAUCGGAAUCUACUUUUUCGUGGGGGAUAACGUAGGGAAACUUACGCUAAUACCGCAUACGACCUACGGGUGAAAGCAGGGGAUCUUCGGACCUUGCGCGAUUGAAUGAGCCGAUGUCGGAUUAGCUAGUUGGCGGGGUAAAGGCCCACCAAGGUGACGAUCCGUAGCUGGUCUGAGAGGAUGAUCAGCCACACUGGAACUGAGACACGGUCCAGACUCCUACGGGAGGCAGCAGUGGGGAAUAUUGGACAAUGGGCGCAAGCCUGAUCCAGCCAUACCGCGUGGGUGAAGAAGGCCUUCGGGUUGUAAAGCCCUUUUGUUGGGAAAGAAAAGCAGCAGGUUAAUACCCCGCUGUUCGGACGGUACCCAAAGAAUAAGCACCGGCUAACUUCGU
rnacentral:rRNA from 1 species